UACAGAGGGGGCAAGCGUUAUUCGGAAUUAUUGGGCGUAAAGGGCGCGUAGGCGGCUUUGCAAGUGGCGGGUGAAAUCCCUCGGCUUAACCGAGGAACUGCCUGUCAAACUGCAUGGCUUGAGACCAGGAGAGGUGAGUGGAAUUCCCAGUGUAGCGGUGAAAUGCGUAGAUAUCUGGAGGAACACCGGUGGCGAAGGCGGCGUCCUGGACCAACACUGACACUGAUGAGCGAAAGCCAGGGGAGCAAACGGG
rnacentral:rRNA from 1 species